CAGCCGCCACGGUAAUACGAAGGGGGCUAGCGUUGUUCGGAUUUACUGGGCGUAAAGGGCGCGUAGGCGGGCGAAUAAGUCAGGGGUGAAAUCCCAAGGCUCAACCUUGGAACUGCCUUUGAUACUGUUUGUCUUGAGUUCGAGAGAGGUAAGUGGAACUGCGAGUGUAGAGGUGAAAUUCGUAGAUAUUCGCAAGAACACCAGUGGCGAAGGCGGCUUACUGGCUCGAAACUGACGCUGAGGCGCGAAAGCGUGGGGAGCAAACAGGAUUAGAUACCCGCGUAGUCCCUGUCUCUUAUAC
rnacentral:rRNA from 1 species